AGAGGUGGCGAGCGUUGUUCGGAUUUACUGGGCGUAAAGGGUGCGUAGGUGGUUUCGUGUGUCGGGCGUGAAAGCCCACUGCUCAACGGGUGGAAUUGCGUCUGAAACUGCGGAACUAGAGUGCAGGAGGGGAGAGCGGAAUUCUUGGUGUAGCGGUGAAAUGCGUUGAUAUCAAGAAGAACACCGGUGGCGAAGGCGGCUCUCUGGAAUGUUACUGACACUGAGGCACGAAAGCUGGGGGAGCGAACAGGAUUAGAUACCCUGGUAGUCCCAGCCGUAAACGGUGCGCACUUGGUGUGGGGAGUAUUGAUCCUCCCCGUGCCGGAGCUAACGCGUUAAGUGCGCCGCCUGGGGAGUACGGCCGCAAAGGCUAA
rnacentral:rRNA from 1 species